UUAGGUUCUGUUUAGAUACCUCAACCUAGGGCCAUUGUGGAUUGCAUGACAACUAUUAGGCUCGAGUUAGUCUUCCUUUUAGUUUGUUAUUCCCCGGUCUCUGGUUAGGAGAAAGUUUUUCCCCUGUUAAGGGGAACUACGUCGCCCUGAUCCUCAUACCAGAUGAGGUACGUAGGCAGGAGAUCGUGCGAGAUCUCUCCGGGCAACCUUUUCUUUUUUUGGUGUGUGUUUGGAGUCGAAUGUAAGCCCAGCUAUUGGCA
rnacentral:lncRNA from 1 species